UGGGGAAUAUUGGACAAUGGGGGCAACCCUGAUCCAGCGACGCCGCGUGUGUGAAGAAGGCCUGCGGGUUGUAAAGCACUUUUAGUGGGGACAAAAAGCCGAGGGUUAAUACCUUUCGGUCUUGAUUUAACCCAAAGAAAAAGCACCGGCUAACUCUGUGCCAGCAGCCGCGGUAAUACAGAGGGUGCAAGCGUUAAUCGGAAUUACUGGGCGUAAAGCGUGCGUAGUCGGUUAUCUAAGUCAGGUGUGAAAUCCCCGGGCUCAACCUGGGAAUUGCAUUUGAUACUGGAUAGCUAGAGUUCGGCAGAGGGAAGUGAAAUUUCUGGUGUAGCGGUGAAAAUGCGUAGAUAUCAGAAGGAACAUCAGUGGCGAAAGCGACUUUCCUGGACCAGAACUUGACGAUCAGGCACGAAAAGCGUGGGGAGCAAAACA
rnacentral:rRNA from 1 species